GAAGCAUGGAAAGUUCCAAAAGCCCUCCAAAACCCAAGAAAAUGAAAAAUAGGAAGUUGAAAAAAUUAAAUUAAAAAGCGAGAGCUAAAUACUUAAGUAGACGAAAGACUGAUAGGAAGAGAAAUCGAAACCCUUACCUCUUUCUCUCUCCACCGAUCCUCUCCAGCUCCCUCCUUCCUCGUAAAAUCCAGAAGCUUCCUCGCCGAAGAAUCCAGAAUUCGGAUCGGAAUCUCUUCCCUCCCAUAGAUGGAGGACAAGAACCGGCCGCCGCCGGAAUCCGACGCCCGCGGCGGCGGCGGUGGCACCGGCCGCUGGCGAUACCUCGGCGACGGCGGUGCCGGGAUCUCCUCCCUCGACGAUCUCUGCGCCGGCGAGGAGGAGGAGGAGGAGGAGGCCAGCAUCCUGAGGGCGUUCGGGUGGAGCAUCCCGAUGGAGUCCAGCCCGAUCGGGGAGGAGGACGGCGGAUUCCCAGGGUUCGGCCUGGACGAUGCACCGGGACCGUCGGCGACGGUGGCGGCUCCACCGGAGGCCCGAUCCGACGCACCGGCGGCGGAUCUCCCAGCGAGAUCCGGCGACGCCGCGUCCUCCAGCUCCAGCGAGGAGCCCCCGCCGGAGCCCGACGAGAAGCCGGCCGAGACAGCGAGCAAAAGUACUAAGAAGGGACAGAAGCGAAGCCAUCAACCCAGAUUCGCAUUCAUGACUAAGAGCGAGAUUGAUCAUCUGGAAGAUGGCUACCGAUGGAGAAAGUAUGGGCAGAAGGCAGUCAAAAACAGUCCAUUUCCAAGGAGCUACUACCGCUGCACAAACAGCAAAUGCAUGGUGAAGAAACGAGUGGAGCGAUCCUCCGAAGAUCCCACCAUUGUGAUCACCACGUAUGAAGGCCAGCACUGCCACCACACGGUAUCCUUCCCUCGUGGCCAUGUCUACGUUCACAAUGUAGCUGCCUCUGCUGAACGGCCAGCAUUACCAUCUCCACACCUCUAUCUACCAGCAAUGCAGUUCCAUCAGAACCCUGCAGCGGCUGGAGGCCAGCAGUUGCUACAAACCCUCCAUGGAGAGCAUCAAACAUCCUUGCCGGCAAGAACUUCUUCGCCACUUCCCGCCGAUGAGGGACUGUUGGGUGACAUGGUGCCUCCUUGGAUGAGAAACAGAUGAGGAUGAUAACUGGGUAUUGAAAGACUCUUAUAACUUCUGUUAAUUUUUUUAUUCCUUUUGAACUAAGACAGUAGUAGGUACGGUCUGAGCAGUAUUAUCGCCAUCAAUCUCGCCAUAAGAUCAACCUUGCAGUAGUUUUGGAUUGUAGUAAUAGCAUUUACGCAAGAGAAAAAUUAGGUAUAUGUAAAGAAGAAGAAAAAGAGAAAGUAAAAUGGGGAAACCUGGGUGCAUGACCCAUGAUUGGUAAUAUGAUGGUGGUGGUGGGUGGUGAUGAUGAAUGAUGAUGAGGAUGAUGAUGGUGAAGAGUACAUGCAUGUGGUCCUUACAAAAUAAUCUAAGCAUAACGAGAUCAUCGAUGUCCCUGAAGGCCUAUACAUGCAUGGAGCUUCUACUUUUUUAUGUUAAUCUGGUACUGCCGCACCAUCACAUGCAGAGAGGAUAGACAGGAUGGCCAUCCACAUAUAAUGCCCCUGUUAGCUACAGCUUGUGUAGGCAUUGAUCUAUUUAAGUUUUAGACCUCUAAACUUGGCAGCUUUUGAUGCCACAUUAUUCUUGAUGCCUUUGGUUUUGUUUUGUGAUCUUUUAGAUAUACAGCAUCUGUUCACAUUGUGUACUGAUCAUUUGGAGUAGUAGUUAAUUUAUUCAAAACUCCUCCACUUGCUAGAACUCUAUAUUCAUGUGGAAACUAAGCAGUCUCAUAGCCUUUCAUGUG